rnacentral:rRNA from 1 species
UCGAGCUUGCUCACAGGCACACCAUAUCCAUAACACCUGUGCACUUGUCGGAUGGCUUAGUGAAGACCGCAAGGUUGAAUCUAUCCAUCUACUUUACAUAACAAUUCUGUAACAAAUGUAGUCUUAUUAUAACAUAAUAAAACUUUCAACAACGGAUCUCUUGGCUCUCGCAUCGAUGAAGAACGCAGCGAAAUGCGAUAAGUAAUGUGAAUUGCAGAAUUCAGUGAAUCAUCGAAUCUUUGAACGCACCUUGCGCUCCUUGGUAUUCCGAGGAGCAUGCCUGUUUGAGUGUCAUGAAAACCCUCAACCCUAGAUUGGUUAAAACCUUUCUUUGGUUUGGAUUUGGACGUUUGCCGAUGAUAAGUCGGCUCGUCUUAAAAGUAAUAGCUGGAUCUGUCUCGCGACAUGGUUUGACUUGGCGUAAUAAGUAUUUCGCUAAGGACAUCUUCGGAUGGCCGCGUUGCAGGACUAAAGACCGCUUUCUAAUCCAUUGAUCUUCGGAUUAAUACUCUUGACAUCUGGCCUCAAAUCAGGUAGGACUACCCGCUGGACUUAAGCAUAUCAAUAAGCGGAGGAA